CGAGGAAUAUUCGGCAAUGGGGGCAACCCUGACCGAGCAACGCCGCGUGGAGGAUGACGGUUUUUGGAUUGUAAACUCCUUUUCUGUGGGAAGAGACAGGACGGUACCACAGGAAUAAGUCACGGCUAACUACGUGCCAGUAGCCGCGGUAAUACGUAGGUGGCAAGCGUUAUCCGGAAUUACUGGGCGUAAAGCGCACGCAGGUGGUUGUCUAAGUUCGACGUGAAAGCGCCUGGCUUAACUGGGCGAGGUCGUUGGAGACUGGAUGACUAGAGGCGAGGAGAGGGGUGUAGAAUUCCCGGUGUAGUGGUGGAAUGCGUAGAGAUCGGGAGGAAUACCAGUGGCGAAAGCGGCACCCUGGCCUUGGCCUGACGCUCAUGUGCGAAAGCGUGGGGAGCAAA
rnacentral:rRNA from 1 species